rnacentral:rRNA from 1 species
UACGAGUCUGACGAACGUUAUUCGGAAUUACUGGGCUUAAAGGGUGCGUAGGCGGUGGAGUAAGUCGGAUGUGAAAUACCUUAGCUCAACUAAGGAACUGCACUCGAUACUACUUUGCUAGAGUAAGACAGAGGUGAGUGGAACUGAGGGUGGAGCGGUGAAAUGCGUUGAUAUCCUCAGGAACACCGGUGGCGAAGGCGACUCACUGGGUCUUUACUGACGCUGAUGCACGAAAGCUAGGGUAGCAAACGGG